AAUUACCCUGACUGACUUAUUCUGGGACUCUGCAGGUACUAUGCUUAUCUUAGUUCGCCUUCCAGAGAAUGUAACACACCUCUACCACCAUUGGGAAACAGCUAUUCCACACAUAUCUCUCACCAGAUCCCUCAACACCUCAUGGAAAGACUUAGGCCCGAUGGCCAGAACCUGGAACCAAAUGACUCAAGAACAACUGACUUCUACGGGGAUCAAUAAA